AGAAAAGUAAGCUAAGAAAAGCUAAUGGGUUCAUACCCCAUAAAUAGAGCACACGCUCUCUUCUCUA
rnacentral:tRNA from 1 species